GCCCCCACAUUCAGCCUGCUAUUUGCGCAUUUUAAGAGAUCUCCUAAAAAGCUCAGAGGUGGAAUUGGCUGCCUUCUCUCUGUCCCCUGUUAGCAGCAGGCCACUGCUCACUGAAUAACUAGGACCUUUUUCUGGUGCUCAAGCAUCCCUUACCCCCCCGGGGGGAGUGUUGGGGCCACGGCCAGCUUCUCCCAGUCCUGUCAGGGCUUCGGGCUCUCCAGCAGACCCGACACAGGCACCAUCACUACAUGAGUGGGCCUCUGCCCACCUGGGCCUCACUGCCACCCUCGCUGUGGUUCAGAUCUAAAAUGUCCCCCAAGUCUGUGUGUGGAAGGUGCCUGGAUCACCAGGGGACUCAUCCACAGAUGGGUUAGUUCACGGCUGAGCGUGCUGUUAGGAGGCAGGGCCUGACCCUGGGGUGCAUUUUGUCCCUGGCUCUGCCCUUCUCUCUGCAUCCUGGUCGCCAUGAGGUGAGGACAUUUCCCCCUCAGGCCCUUCCGCCAUGCUGAGCCAGCAGACCACGGACUGUACCCGCUGAACACUGAGCCGAACACACCUCUUCUCCUUUAAGCUGUGGGUGUUGGGAGUUUUGUCCCAGCAAUGGGAAAGUGACGAAGACACCAGCUCUCAAGGCCUCCGGUGCCCUGGUGUGUGAGAGGGAAUGAAACGCGUAUGGCUUACAAACACUCCGUAGCUUAAAAUGGAGCUAUCUCCUGUUUAAACCCAUUAUCAGGUCAAAAUAUCCUAAAUUGAAAACACAUUUGAUGCACCUACCCUGUAGUGCCCUUAGCUCAGCAACGCAGUGAAGAGUAUUUUGGUGGUUUCCUCUUGGGGUCCUGAGGCUGGUAGGAAAGGGAGCGGUGUCUGGUGGCUGCUGCUGAUUAGAUCCAGGAACUUUCAAUCUUACUAUUAAGGACACAUCCGCCGUCUCCAGCUCUGGGUGACUCACCAGCCGCCCCAGCGGGCCAACUGCCCUCCCUUCAUGAGUUCUGACUCAUCCUCCUGUGUCCUUGCUAAGGUGGGACAGUGAUGGGAUUUCAACAGGCGAAAGCUGGGAGUGGUGACUAACUGGACUGUGAACAGAGAGACACGAGUGUGCGGGGACCGUGGAGGAGCGGGAUUCUGAACAUUUACAAUCCCAAGAAACGUGAAUAGGACUCCGUCGUUAUCCCGGCUUCAUAGACGGGGAGCUGGGAACUCGGGGCCCAUGGGACACACAGCCAAACUCAGUCAGAACACGAGGCCGGGCAGCCACACCUGGCGGAAAUGUGGUCUGCUUCUCACUGUGAGUCACGGUCACUGGAAGGGAACCAGGUAGCACCAGGGCCAGGAUGCUGGCCAUGAGAGGGGGGGGGCGUGACCCCGCAGGGCCACUGUGAUGUGACUCCGUGACAGUGGGCGUCCAGGGCCACUUCCUGCUUUCUUCCUGGGGAGCCCGGGACUGGCUGGCCCAAGUUUUCUCCGGAAAAUGUUCCUCCCCUCUCACCACCUACAGGGCUGGAUGUGACAGUCACCAUCUCCAGGGCCCACAGGAGGACUCUUAUGAGUCCAACGCCAGCCUGAACUCAUAGCGAGACCCUGUCCCAAAUAAAUAAAUAAAUUCAAAUACAUAAUUUCAAAUAAAUCUAACAC